rnacentral:rRNA from 1 species
AAUCAAGUGCCUUAAGGGUGUUCGGUGGAUGCCUUGGCGCUGAGAGGCGAUGAAGGACGUGCUACGCUGCGAUAAGCCGUGGGGAGCUGCGAAGAAGCUUUG